GACGAACGCUGGCGGCGUGCCUAAUACAUGCAAGUUGAGCGCUGAAGGUUGGUACUUGUACCAACUGGAUGAGCAGCGAACGGGUGAGUAACGCGUGGGGAAUCUGCCUUUGAGCGGGGGACAACAUUUGGAAACGAAUGCUAAUACCGCAUAAAAACUUUAAACACAAGUUUUAAGUUUGAAAGAUGCAAUUGCAUCACUCAAAGAUGAUCCCGCGUUGUAUUAGCUAGUUGGUGAGGUAAAGGCUCACCAAGGCGAUGAUACAUAGCCGACCUGAGAGGGUGAUCGGCCACAUUGGGACUGAGACACGGCCCAAACGCCUACGGGAGGCAGCAGGAGGGAAUCUUCGGCAAUGGACGAAAGUCUGACCGAGCAACGCCGCGUGAGUGAAGAAGGGUUUCGGAUCGUAAAACUCUGUUGGUAGAGAAGAACGUUGGUGAGAGUGGAAAGCUCAUCAAGUGACGGUAACUACCCAGAAAGGGACGGCUAACUACGUG
rnacentral:rRNA from 1 species